GAAAAACCUUACCUACCCUUGACAUGUCAAGAAUUCUGCAGAGAUGUGGAAGUGCUCGAAAGAGAACUUGAACACAGGUGCUGCAUGGCCGUCGUCAGCUCGUGUCGUGAGAUGUUGGGUUAAGUCCCGCAACGAGCGCAACCCUCGUCAUUAGUUGCUACGCAAGAGCACUCUAAUGAGACUGCCGGUGACAAACCGGGGGAAGGUGGGGAUGACGUCAGGUCCUCAUGGCCCUUAUGGGUAGGGCUACACACGUCAUACAAUGGCCGGUACAGAGGGCUGCCAACCCGCGAGGGGGAGCCAAUCCCAGAAAACCGGUCGUAGUCCGGAUCGUAGUCUGCAACUCGACUGCGUGAAGUCGGAAUCGCUAGUAAUCGCGGAUCAGCUUGCCGCGGUGAAUACGUUCCCGGGUCUUGUACACACCGCCCGUCACACCAUGGGA
rnacentral:rRNA from 1 species